GACGAACGCUGGCGGCGUGCCUAAUACAUGCAAGUUGAGCGCUGAAGGUUGGUACUUGUACCAACUGGAUGAGCAGCGAACGGGUGAGUAACGCGUGGGGAAUCUGCCUUUGAGCGGGGGACAACAUUUGGAAACGAAUGCUAAUACCGCAUAAAAACUUUAAACACAAGUUUUAAGUUUGAAAGAUGCAAUUGCAUCACUCAAAGAUGAUCCCGCGUUGUAUUAGCUAGUUGGUGAGGUAAAGGCUCACCAAGGCGAUGAUACAUAGCCGACCUGAGAGGGUGAUCGGCCACAUUGGGACUGAGACACGGCCCAAACUCCUACGGGAGGCAGCAGUAGGGAAUCUUCGGCAAUGGACGAAAGUCUGACCGAGCAACGCCGCGUGAGUGAAGAAGGUCUUCGGAUCGUAAAACUCUGUUAUUAGGGAAGAACAAAUGUGUAAGUAACUAUGCACGUCUUGACGGUACCUAAUCAGAAAGCCACGGCUAACUACGUG
rnacentral:rRNA from 1 species